rnacentral:rRNA from 1 species
CAGGCCUAACACAUGCAAGUCGAACGGGCAUCUUCGGAUGCUAGUGGCGCACGGGUGCGUAACGCGUGGGAAUCUGCCCUUUGGUUCGGAAAAACAGCGGGAAACUGCUGCUAAUACCGGAUGAUGACGAAAGUCCAAAGAUUUAUCGCCAGAGGAUGAGCCCGCGUCGGAUUAGCUAGUUGGUGGGGUAAAGGCCUACCAAGGCGACGAUCCGUAGCUGGUCUGAGAGGAUGAUCAGCCACACUGGGACUGAGACACGGCCCAGACUCCUACGGGAGGCAGCAGUGGGGAAUAUUGGACAAUGGGCGAAAGCCUGAUCCAGCAAUGCCGCGUGAGUGAUGAAGGCCUUAGGGUUGUAAAGCUCUUUUACCCGGGAAGAUAAUGACUGUAUCGGGAGAAUAAGCCCCGGCUAACUCCGUGCCAGCAGCCGCGGUAAU